UGGGGGAUAUUGCGCAAUGGGGGCAACCCUGACGCAGCAACGCCGCGUGAAGGAUGAAGGUUUUCGGAUUGUAAACUUCUUUUAUUAAGGACGAAAAAUGACGGUACUUAAUGAAUAAGCUCCGGCUAACUACGUGCCAGCAGCCGCGGUAAUACGUAGGGAGCAAGCGUUGUCCGGAUUUACUGGGUGUAAAGGGUGCGUAGGCGGCUUUGCAAGUCAGAUGUGAAAUCUAUGGGCUCAACCCAUAAACUGCAUUUGAAACUGUAGAGCUUGAGUGAAGUAGAGGCAGGCGGAAUUCCCCGUGUAGCGGUGAAAUGCGUAGAGAUGGGGAGGAACACCAGUGGCGAAGGCGGCCUGCUGGGCUUUAACUGACGCUGAGGCACGAAAGCGUGGGUAGCAAACAGGAUUAGAUACCCUGGUAGUCCACGCUGUAAACGAUGAUUACUAGGUGUGGGGGGUCUGACCCCUUCCGUGCCGGAGUUAACACAAUAAGUAAUCCACCUGGGGAGUACAGCCGCAAGGUUGAAACUCAAAGGAAUUGACGGGGGCCCGCACAAGCAGUGGAGUAUGUGGUUUAAUUCGAAGCAACGCGAAGAACCUUACCAGGUCUUGACAUCCAACUAACGAAGUAGAGAUACAUUAGGUGCCCUUCGGGGAAAGUUGAGACAGGUGGUGCAUGGUUGUCGUCAGCUCGUGUCGUGAGAUGUUGGGUUAAGUCCCGCAACGAGCGCAACCCUUGCUAUUAGUUGCUACGCAAGAGCACUCUAAUAGGACUGCCGUUGACAAAACGGAGGAAGGUGGGGACGACGUCAAAUCAUCAUGCCCCUUAUGACCUGGGCUACACACGUACUACAAUGGAUGUUAACAGAGGGAAGCAAGACAGCGAUGUGGAGCAAACCCCUAAAAACAUUCUCAGUUCAGAUUGCAGGCUGCAACCCGCCUGCAUGAAGAUGGAAUUGCUAGUAAUCGCGGAUCAGCAUGCCGCGGUGAAUACGUUCCC
rnacentral:rRNA from 1 species